rnacentral:rRNA from 1 species
GGAUGAACGCUAGCGGCAGGCCUAACACAUGCAAGUCGAGGGAGAAGCCCUUUCGGGGGCAGAAACCGGCGCACGGGUGCGUAACGCGUAUGCAACCUACCUUUCACAGGGGGAUAGCCCGAAGAAAUUUGGAUUAAUACCCCAUAAUAUUAUUGGAUGGCAUCAUUUGAUAAUUAAAACUGCGGUGGUGAAAGAUGGGCAUGCGUCCUAUUAGCUAGUUGGAGUGGUAACGGCACCCCAAGGCUACGAUAGGUAGGGGUCCUGAGAGGGAGAUCCCCCACACUGGUACUGAGACAGGGACCAGACUCCUACGGGAGGCAGCAGUGAGGAAUAUUGGUCAAUGGUCGGAAGACUGAACCAGCCAUGCCGCGUGCAGGAAGAAUGCCUUAUGGGUUGUAAACUGCUUUUAUAGGGGAAGAAUAAGGCGUACGUGUACGUUGAUGACGGUACCAUAUGAAUAAGCAUCGGCUAACUCCGUG